rnacentral:rRNA from 1 species
GACGAACGCUGGCGGCAUGCCUAAUACAUGCAUGUCGAGCGAACAGAUGAAGUGCUUGCACUUCUGACGUUAGCGGCGAACGGGUGAGUAACACGUAAGGAAUCUACCUAUAAGCGGGGGAUAACAUUCGGAAACGGGUGCUAAUACCGCAUAAUAUCUUCUUCCGCAUGGAAGAAGAUUGAAAGACGGCUCUGCUGUCACUUAUAGAUGACCUUGCGGUGCAUUAGUUAGUUGGUGGGGUAACGGCCUACCAAGACGAUGAUGCAUAGCCGGCCGGGGGGGGUGAGGGGCCACAUUGGGACUGAGACACGGCCGAAACGGCUACGGGAGGCAGCAGUAGGGAAUCUGACGCAAUGGGCGAAAGCCUGACGGAGCAAUGCCGCGUGAGUGAAGAAGGCCUUCGGGUCGUAAAACUCUGUUAUAAGAGAAGAACAAAUUGUAGAGUAACUGCUACAGUCUUGACGGUAUCUUAUCAGAAAGCCACGGCUAACUACGUGCCAGCAGCCGCCGUAA